rnacentral:rRNA from 4 species
CCCUGGCUCAGGACGAACGCGGGCGGCGUGCCUAAUACAUGCAAGUCGAGCGGAAUGAUGAAGAAGCUUGCUUCUUCUGAUUUUAGCGGCGGACGGGUGAGUAACACGUGGGCAACCUACCUUGUAGAUUGGGAUAACUCCGGGAAACCGGGGCUAAUACCGAAUAAUCCAUUUUGCUUCAUGGCAAGAUGUUGAAAGGCGGCUUCGGCUGUCACUACGAGAUGGGCCCGCGGCGUAUUAGCUAGUUGGUAGGGUAAUGGCCUACCAAGGCGACGAUACGUAGCCGACCUGAGAGGGUGAUCGGCCACACUGGGACUGAGACACGGCCCAGACUCCUACGGGAGGCAGCAGUAGGGAAUCUUCCACAAUGGACGAAAGUCUGAUGGAGCAACGCCGCGUGAGUGAAGAAGGUUUUCGGAUCGUAAAACUCUGUUGUAAGGGAAGAACACGUACGAGAGUAACUGCUCGUACCUUGACGGUACCUUAUUAGAAAGCCACGGCUAACUA